UCCCGGUCUUGCAGGGAGAACGGGAGGAGGCUGACGGGAGCACCUCAGCACCGUGCUCUAAAAAAAUACAAAGUCGAUAUUAUGGAUCCUAACUGUAAAUCCAGCCUGGAUAAGAAUCAUCAGUGGAUAAGCUUGAAGGAAACCAAAGAGCCCAAGAGUAAAGUGGCAAUCUGACAUGGAAUUAUUUACCUUUCAUCGAUGACCCGAAAUACAGUGUU